UGAUCACGCCACUGCAUGCCAGCCUGAGUGACCGAGCAACAGAGUGAGACACCAUCUCUUACAGAAAGGAAAAAAAAAAAAAAAAAAGCGGGGGGAGGGAGAGAGAGAUACACAUUAGUCUAAAGUGGAUUUUGUUGGGUCUUCUUAUCUAAGCUGGAAAUACAUUAUGCAUAAUUCACUUUCCUGCAGCGUUCUGGAUUAGAGUCAGCCACCAGAGGCGUGCAUGCAUUACGAUUUGGAAGGCAGAAGUACACCGGCACUUAUUUUCCUGUCACACUCGAAUGCUGGUGCGAGGCACCAGGCAUACUGCGGCUGUUCAAGCAUAUUGACGCCGAUAUUCUGACUCCUUGUGGAAAUGGAGCCGCAUCCUGCCUUGCAGAGCAUCAGCCAGAUCUUGUUUUUUUACUUUCUCGGAAUCAUGCAGGCAGGGCUAGGCGUAUGUUUAGCUCUAUGGCAAGAGCCUCCAGCUUCUCCUGCAUAUCUCAAACCUCAUCAAAAGCUGGCAGCUUGGAGGUAGUGAGACACAGAGGAGAGAUCCAGUUCAUCAAGAGACUAUUAAAAUCUACUUCAACCUCAUCGAUUACUCGUGUAAGUAUGCCAUAACUUUUUAUUUUAUAAUACAAAUGAUUCAUAUGCCAUAUUUUAAAUAAAA
rnacentral:lncRNA from 1 species